UAUCUUCUAAACUUAUACUAAACGCGGCAGAACAAAUGGUGGGCCAUCUAUUAGCAACCUAUUCCAAGGUCUGUUGCGUAAUAUUUAGGGAAUUGUCAUAUGUUGGAAAGAUAAACGCUGGUUUCGCGGAAAAUUCGCGAAUAUGGAUCAAAGAAAAUGUGGACGAAAGAAAUUUCUACGGCCUUUGACGAGAACCAGGUAUUAUCGAUGAUUUUCCACGCAGCUUAAAGUAAAGCGUACGAUGCAUCGAAGCGGCACGUAACGAGCACGAGUCAUAAAUACACCAGGAACGAUAUAUAUCGAAGGUGCCCCCCCCCCCUUUGCCUCAAAAGCGGCGAGACGCGCCGAAAAUCCUGGCUACGCGCGAUCGUCUUUCGCGUGCACGGGACCCAGCUGGCAAUUAAUCUUUCCACGAUCUUCUGGUCGACUCGUUUUCCUUCGAACAUGUGCCACGGUUCUCACCCUAAAUCCCGUCGCGCGUGACGAAACUUCCACGCGCCAAGUUCCGAGCCUUUUAAUUUGGACGGGAAAGAAAUUCGAACGACGAAUAAAGAGUCUACUAAUUACGGCGAAUUCGAGGUCGUUUUGUAUUUUCACGCGUAAUACACGUGAAAACAGUUGCAGCGUUAACGAUUAAAAAGAUUCUCUUUACGUCCUAACGUGGCACGAAAUUUUCCUUCGAUCUUAAACUUACGAUAAACUUGCUUCGAAAAGAAGCCAAAAUGGAGUGCGAAUAUCCUUGGUGUUUAAAUAAAUACCGAUCGCCCAAGUGCGUUUUGCAAUAUUACGUAAUUAUUCUGCGUUCCACCAUUGCCAGCAUACGAUGUAACGAUAACACGAAAGAAGUCUUAUGGUGGCUCGUCGAAAGUCUCUGUAAAGGAAGAUCUCGUGUAUGUAGAUGAACGGGACGAGGAAAGAGAUGUUGAGAAAUCUGUCUCUAACGAGAGAGCGAGAGAGCUUGCGCAACCGGUGCCCAUCUGGCCAGAAAGCUUUUAUCGUGCUUUUUCGGUACGGUCGUCGACAUAAGCGUGGGCAGCCUAAUUCCUACGGCUGUCGUUUCUGCAACAUACGCGUUCGACCGCCAAUAGACAGAACAGACGACCAUCGGCACGACACCCCUUCCAUCCAUCGAAAUCCCAUGAAACUCCUACGAAACAUGCGACCAGCCCACGAGUUUACGAGCGACUCGAUUCCCUGGAAUCGUGGAAACCAGCCUCCAAACAGCCAGGAAAAAAGACGUCGAGGAAGAGAAAAAGA